rnacentral:rRNA from 1 species
GACGAACGCUGGCGGCGCGCCUAACACAUGCAAGUCGAACGGAGUUAUUUCCUUCACUCCGAGCUUUUUGCCAGUUAGCCGGAGCGGCAAUCGGUUUUGCCCAGCAUACAAAGCAAAACCGAUUUAGGCUCAUAAAGUAAGACUAACACAGAGGGCAGAGAGUUGGGAGUGAAGAAAAUAACUUAGUGGCGAACGGGUGAGUAACGCGUGAGUAACCUGCCCUGGAGUGGGGGACAACAGUUGGAAACGACUGCUAAUACCGCAUAAGCCCACGGCCCGGCAUCGGGCUGAGGGAAAAGGAUUUAUUUGCUUCAGGAUGGACUCGCGUCCAAUUAGCUAGUUGGUGAGGUAACGGCCCACCAAGGCGACGAUUGGUAGCCGGACUGAGAGGUUGAACGGCCACAUUGGGACUGAGACACGGCCCAGACUCCUACGGGAGGCAGCAGUGGGGGAUAGUUGCGACAAUGGGGGAAACCUGAUGCAGCGACGCCGCGUGGAGGAAGAAGG